rnacentral:rRNA from 2 species
UAGCAUGAAGUCAGAC